rnacentral:misc_RNA from 1 species
AUUCAAGAUGGCUGCGCACAUUGAAAACCUCAUGUCCAAAGUUUUGCUCGACUUUUCCGAAUGUUCCAGCAAACCUGAAGAAUUUCUUAAUGUUCAGCAGCAGUAUUUCCCCAAAUUCAAGCGCAUAACUAAAUCAGUGUAUGAUACAAGUCAGUCAGAAGACUUAAUUGGACAGCCUUUGAGUGAAUCAGCAUUGCCAGAACUGAUUGUUGAAAAUUUUGAUGAUGAACAAAUAUGGCAGCAAAUUGAACUUCAGAAUGAUGGUGUGAUUGAAAGUUUGUUAACACAAAUCAGCAGUGUUGUUACAGCCAAAGAUAAUCUGAGGCUGAGAACUAAACAGUCAGGUGCAGUCGGUCCUAGUGAUAAAAAAGUUAAAUUUCAGAAGAAGGUCUUGGAAAAUGAUGACAGUGAUGAGACAGAUGAUACUGACAUUGAAGUUGAAAAAAUUAAAAGUCGACUGGUAGAUGAUGAAAUAGAAGAGAAUGUAGACAGUGAUGACAGUGGAAAAAUUGUUUAUAAGGGAAAUAAUGUUCUAGACAUCGAAAGUGAUGAUGACAGUGAAAAUGACUUAAAAUUUCCCUCCUUAAAACCACCACCUCAAGAUGAUGAGGGUUCAGAUAGUGAUGAUGAGAAUGUGAUUAAGAAAGAGUUGUCUAGAUCUAAAGGAAAGGGGUCGAAGAAGAAGCAAGCACCGAGUGUGGUGGAUGAUAAAUUCUUCAAGUUAGCAGACAUGGAGGCAUUUUUAGAACAAGAGGAUGCAAGAGAAGAGAAGAGGAUUAGAGGAGAAGAGAGCGAGUCAGAUGAAGAGGAUGUUGACAUGUUUAUGGACAUUCCAUCAGAUGAGGAGGGAGGAGAAAGUGGGAGAAAGUUGAGGUAUGAAGACUUCUUUGACCCCCCAGAAGAUGAAGGUAAAUCCAGAAAACAGAAGAAAAAAGUGAAACACCAGAAAAGUUCAAGUAAUGAAGAAGAGGAUGAUAAGAAAAUGUUUGAUGAAGAAGUAAUGGAGGAAGAUGAAGGUGUGGAAGAUGAUGACAGUGUAGAUGAGGACUCUGAAGAUGGAGAAGAAGAGGGUAGAGCCAUUAGAGGGAGUAGGCGGGAUCUGCUGGAGUCUGAUAGUGAGGGGGAGGAUCCAGAUGUGGUGUUGGGUAGAAAACCUCAAGAGAAAUCAACGUUUGAGAAACAGCAAGAAAAGCUGAGAGAAAAGAUCUCCAAAAUGGAGGAGGCAAAUCUAAGUGAGAAACCAUGGCAGCUCUCUGGUGAAAUCGGAGCAACGGAUCGCCCUGAAAACAGUCUGUUGGAGGAGCACCUGAUGUAUGACCAGACGGUGAAACUCGCACCGGUGAUCACGGAGGAGACAACGCAGAGCCUGGAGUCCAUCAUCAGACAGAGAAUCAAAGACCGCGCCUACGACGAUGUGGAGAGGAAGGUCAAGCCAAAGGACAAUCCGUACGAGUACAAGAAGAGGAUAGUGCUGGACCAGGAGAAGAGCAAGAUCAGCCUGGGAGAAGUCUACGAACAGGAGUACCUCAAAAAGCAGAAGGAAGAGGAGGAGGAGAAAACAGACCCUCAACAUGAGGAAAUCAAAAAGAUGAUGCAGUCCCUCUUCAUCAAAUUGGAUGCACUGUCCAACUUCCAGUACACGCCCAAACCUGCUGCCCCUGAAGUAAAGAUAGUGACCAACCUACCGUCAAUCAUGAUGGAGGAGGUGGCCCCGGUAACCCAUGGCGAAGAGCAGCAAGUCAGGGUCAGGGGUCACCAUGCUCAAGGAUGAGAAAAACUCGACCAAACAAAAGCUCAGCUCCUCCAAGUCAUUCUUUACACAGCUCCAGGAGGACGCCCAAUCACAGAUCAAGAAAAGAAAGACUGACGCCACAACCCAAAAAUCUGUACAAAAGUCGGCCAAAUUAUAUAAAUUAUGAUAAAACUCC